rnacentral:tRNA from 1 species
GCUGUGUUAGUGUAAUUGGUAACACACUGCUCCCGAAAAGCAGCGUCCUUUUGGACUUACAGGUUCGAGUCCUGUACACAGCG